GGCGAACGGGUGAGUAACGCGUGGGAAAUCUGCCGAGUAGCGGGGGACAACGUUUGGAAACGAACGCUAAUACCGCAUAACAAUGAGAAUCGCAUGAUUCUUAUUUGAAAGAAGCAAUUGCUUCACUACUUGAUGAUCCCGCGUUGUAUUAGCUAGUUGGUAGUGUAAAGGACUACCAAGGCGAUGAUACAUAGCCGACCUGAGAGGGUGAUCGGCCACACUGGGACUGAGACACGGCCCAG
rnacentral:rRNA from 1 species